GAUGUGCUUGCACAUCGCUGACGAGUGGCGGACGGGUGAGUAAUGCUUGGGAACUUGCCUUUGCGAGGGGGAUAACAGUUGGAAACGACUGCUAAUACCGCAUAAUGUCUACGGACCAAACGGGGCUUUUGGCUCCGGCGCAAAGAGAGGCCCAAGUGAGAUUAGCUAGUUGGUGGGGUAAAGGCUCACCAAGGCAACGAUCUCUAGCUGUUCUGAGAGGAAGAUCAGCCACACUGGGACUGAGACACGGCCCAGACUCCUACGGGAGGCAGCAGUGGGGAAUAUUGCACAAUGGGGGAAACCCUGAUGCAGCCAUGCCGCGUGUGUGAAGAAGGCCUUCGGGUUGUAAAGCACUUUCAGUUGUGAGGAAAGGUUGGUAGUUAAUACCUGCCAGCUGUGACGUUAACAACAGAAGAAGCACCGGCUAACUCCGUGCCAGCAGCCGCGGUAAUACGGAGGGUGCGAGCGUUAAUCGGAAUUACUGGGCGUAAAGCGCACGCAGGCGGUUUGUUAAGCUAGAUGUGAAAGCCCCGGGCUCAACCUGGGAUGGUCAUUUAGAACUGGUAGACUAGAGUCUUGGAGAGGGGAGUGGAAUUCCAGGUGUAGCGGU
rnacentral:rRNA from 1 species